rnacentral:rRNA from 1 species
CUAUGCGCCUUGCCACGCCCGCUCAAGAAACUACAAAGGAAGUUGGACGGGGGAGCACUACGAACGGGUGGAGCCUGGUACGGUUUUAAUUGGAUUCAACGACCGGAAAUCUCGACCGGGGCGACAGCAAUAUGAAGGUCAGGCUGAAGACCUUACCCGAUUAGCUGAGAGGUGGUGCAUGGCCGUCGUCAGUUCGUACUGUGAAGCAUCCUGUUAAGUCAGGCAACGAGCGAGACCCACGUCCACAGUUGCCAGCAUACCCUCCGGGGUGAUGGGUACACUGUGGAGACCGCCGCUGCUAAAGCGGAGGAAGGAGUGGGCAACGGUAGGUCAGUAUGCCCCGAAUCUCCCGGGCUACACGCGGGCUACAAUGGUUGGUACAAUGGGCAUCUACCCCGAAAGGGGAAGGAAAUCUCUUAAAGCCAAUCGUAGUUCGGAUUGAGGGCUGCAACUCGCCCUCAUGAAGCUGGAAUCCGUAGUAAUCGCGUUUCAACAGAACGCGGUGAAUACGUCCCUGCUCCUU